rnacentral:sRNA from 1 species
GUAACGGCGAGUGAAGCGGCAACAGCUCAAAUUUGAAAUCUGGCCGCAAGGUCCGAGUUGUAAUUUGUAGAGGAUGCUUUUGGCGAGGUGACUUCCGAGUUCCCUGGAACGGGACGCCAUAGAGGGUGAGAGCCCCGUACGGUCGUGCCACCGAGCCUCUGUAAAGCUCCUUCGACGAGUCGAGUAGUUUGGGAAUGCUGCUCUAAAUGGGAGGUGUACGUCUUCUAAAGCUAAAUACCGGCCAGAGACCGAUAGCGCACAAGUAGAGUGAUCGAAAGAUGAAAAGCACUUUGAAAAGAGGGUUAAAAAGUACGUGAAAUUGUUGAAAGGGAAGCAUUCAUGACCAGACUUGGGCUUGGUUGAACAUCCGGCGUUCUCGCCGGUGCACUCUGCCAGCUCAGGCCAGCAUCAGUUUGCCCCGGGGGACAAAGGCGGCGGGAAUGUGGCUCCCUACGGGGAGUGUUAUAGCCCGUCGUGUAAUGCCCUGGGGUGGACUGAGGUUCGCGCUUCGGCACGGAUGCUGGCGUAAUGG